CGGGACAUGACCACACCAAGGAAUGCGGAAGUGAAGCGUUCUUCACCUUCGUCUGAUUUUCUGCUGCUUCCUGUAUUUCUAGUUCACCUUCUGCGAAUUGAACUUGUGACUGCUCGCUACUGCCACCCGGCGAGUGGAAAACGAAAUUGUUCCAAAGGCCGCACGCCGGCUGGUUAACUUCGACUUGUCCCACACAGCGGCGGCAGUCCCGGUCAACAAGUGGAAGCGAGACUGCUCACUCAACAGCGCAAGUUUUCCUUUUUGUGUCAGUUGCCUA